rnacentral:rRNA from 1 species
AUGAACGCUGGCGGCGUGCCUCAUACAUGCAAGUCGAGCGAACAGACGAGGAGCUUGCUCCUCUGACGUUAGCGGCGGACGGGUGAGUAACACGUGGAUAACCUACCUAUAAGACUGGGAUAACUUCGGGAAACCGGAGCUAAUACCGGAUAAUAUAUUGAACCGCAUGGUUCAAUAGUGAAAGACGGUUUUGCUGUCACUUAUAGAUGGAUCCGCGCCGCAUUAGCUAGUUGGUAAGGUAACGGCUUACCAAGGCGACGAUGCGUAGCCGACCUGAGAGGGUGAUCGGCCACACUGGAACUGAGACACGGUCCAGACUCCUACGGGAGGCAGCAGUAGGGAAUCUUCCGCAAUGGGCGAAAGCCUGACGGAGCAACGCCGCGUGAGUGAUGAAGGUCUUCGGAUCGUAAAACUCUGUUAUUAGGGAAGAACAAAUGUGUAAGUAACUAUGGACGUCUUGACGGUACCUAAUCAGAAAGCCACGGCUAACUACGUG